UACAGAGGUAGCUAGCGUUGUUCGGAAUGACUGGGUGUAAAGGGCGUGUAGGCUGUUUUGUAAGUUGAACGUGAAAUCCCUUGGCUUAACCAAGGAACGGCGUUCAAAACUGCAUAACUUGAGUGCGGAAGAGGAAAGUGGAAUUUCGGGUGUAGCGGUGAAAUGCGUAGAUAUCCGAAGGAACACCGGUGGCGAAGGCGACUUUCUGGUCCGCAACUGACGCUGAUACGCGAAAGCUAGGGGAG
rnacentral:rRNA from 1 species